GAGGCUGAGGCCCCUGCGGCCAAGGACUUGCUGCGUGGAUGCUGAGCCAAGAAAUCUUAUGUAGAACAAGCUUGCCAAUUUCUCUCCGUCCAAUUAUUACCCCAAGCAGGGGUCACUCCGGCAGCAUCGGGGCAGGGGGAGGCUCCGAGAAAGGGCGGGGAAGCAAGCACACACACACGGUUACUUGCUUAGCGCUUCCUUUCCAUAAAGGCACCCCCAACUGUCCGCCUCCCACUGGCAGGCGGGAAUCUAGCAGGCAAAGGUUUUCCCCGCUCUGUGGAGGUACACUUUCACCUGCUGAACUUCUGCCUGCCGCGUCUUUCUUCAAGGCACAGAAAACCCCCAGACCCCGUUCUGCGGCACGGGGAGAGCGGUUGCCCGUCUCACCCCGAGGCUGCUCCCGACUCUCCGGGACUCCGGGAGCCAAAAGCCUCCAGUUCCCUCGGUGGUGGUGGUGGUGGCGGCGGCGGCGGCCGGGAUCUGGCCCGCUCUUGCCAUUGCCAACAAGGCCUUUGUGCCCCGCAGACGUUUCCCCGCUCUCCAGUGAAUCAUCUGGAGCCGAAACCUCCUGUGGGCAGCAGCGGUAGCCGCAGGCAGCAGCCCAAAGCCAUCUCCCGCCCUUUCUCCUCCCAGCCAGCCAUUUAAAGGGACAGACAUCUCCUCCGGCUUCUCCGGAGCAGCGAAGGGAAUUGUCAACAGUUCGGUAACUAGGAGGAGAGUUGCACUGAAUUCCUGGGAAGUAAUUUCCACUCGAUGGAGCUUAUUCUCAACUACCUGUGGAUAGAACUGCAGCCAUACAGACUUCGGGUGAAUGAAGGAAAUGCCUUGGAAUGUAAAGGACCCAACCCUCAAGUAAAUGGGCAUUGCAUCCCAGAAUAGGAGCUUUCCAAGCUGAGGUGAAAGAUGCCUUCGGCGAAUUUGCUCUGGGCCUGCUUCGGCAUAAACUGCAGUCAGCUGUCCAGGCCCUCACCGAUGUCUCAAUAGACUACUUGAUGGCUCUGGUCACCAGUCUAAUGAGACUUCGGUGAGGUUGUUCUGGAGUAGAUGGUUUAAAAAUCGUAAACUGACUCCCAGAUUCUAAACCUGCUUUGGGGGAAAGUCUUGUCACUCUCCACAACGAAAAGUAAAGCGUGCCCGCGCAAGU